rnacentral:misc_RNA from 1 species
CGAGCGCAUGAGUUGUGCUGGACCUGUGACUACCGAGAGGACCCCCGCUGUUGUGCGGCCGACUGUCGGUGCCAGUGUCUCUUCAAUCGUUGGCCAAUGUGUGCCUACGUUUUGACGAGUGCUUGCGUGCUGCUACCAGUAACACUGGAAGUUGCAUUGCUAAACCUUGCUUAUGUCGUGCAUGCCCUUUGGGCAUGUCACGUCAACUGUGAAGUGUUCAUGGCGUUGCCUCGUGUAGCUGGCUGCAUAGGCUAGCGGCAUCAAGGACACCUCAUGGACACUAAUGGUAUCGGAUGUGGCCUACUCUAAAGGCUGAAGGUGCUUUGGCACCUCAUGCCUACAAAACAUUGUCCGAUUGAGAACAACGACAGUAGGACUGGUUGAUGCCUCGUGCAUGAGCUUGUGCU